rnacentral:tRNA from 1 species
GGGGAGAUGGCUCAGUGGAAGAGCACCUGCCUUACAUGCAUGAGACCUUGGGUUUGAUCCCUGGCACCACA